rnacentral:tRNA from 1 species
GCGCCCGUGGUGAAAUGGAUAUCAUAGCAGCCUCCGAAGCUGUUGGUACAGGUUCGAUUCCUGUCGGGCGCA